UCACACGACCACAUAAAGGUGCCAAAAGUGCCGUGUGGCUUUGAAACAGGGGAGAAAAAAGGGGACAUUAACCGCUAUACUUCAAAGUUCCAGAAUCAUAAAAGGAACUAUCACUGAAAGAGACUUACAGGAAUCAUAUUCUCUUCUGCUUUGAUGAAGAAAGACAACUGUAAAAGGAGAAAAAGACAAGACAUACAAAUAAUAAUACCUCUCACCCUCUUGCCCAAAUUAAAGAAAGACAGAGAGUGAAGAGCCAAGAAAAAGAAGAGUCUUAAGAGUAACCACCAAUGGCUUUGACACCAAUAAGUUCCACUUAGACAAAGUUUUGUCCAAAGCCACUAUACAUCAGUAACUCAGUAUGUGAUUCGGAAGUCAGAAAUAACAUAAACAAAGGAUCUCAAUAACUUUCUCAUAGCAACAGAAAAUGUCCCAUGUCAUCGGGCCGAGAAUUUACAUAUAGGCUAAAUUGAUGGCUGCAGAUGGAGCUCAACAUAUAGCAUGUGCUGAGUUUACAAAGUGAAAAACGCAAAAUCUAGUACAAAGGAAAGCAUAUUCCCAGCUGAGAACUUAGCUCUCACUGUGUGAGC
rnacentral:lncRNA from 1 species